UCAGACGUGUACUCUUCAGCUCUGGGUGAGAUGGGUGCCUGGUCCCAGGAGCAGACCUUUGGCGCUCUGCCCAGUCACUGCCCACUGAAUAGAACUGGGCCCUCUGCAGUGACAUUCAGAUCUUUUUCCUGAAGAGCUGGAACUAAUUGAGAACUUGUCAGUGUGUGUAACCUGCUUUGUGCUGCGUUCUGCUCCAGCUCGCCUCUGCCAGAACCCACUUUGGAGGCAUCGGGCUGUCAGUUGCAUAGACUAGAUGGGUCCUCUUGGAAUUCUCCUUUCUGUCGUUUAGCCCUUUGUAAUGAUAUCAUCCAGCUUCCAAAGGGUGAGUGUUUUGAAAGCAUUAAAUCAGUGACUCUUAACCUUUUCAGGGUCAUAGACACUUCUGAGAAUCUUACAGAAGCUGUGGAUACUCAUCCUCCUGUCCCUGAAAAUUUAUAUGCACACAAAAUGUAACACAUAGUUUCACAGAUGUCCCAACACCCCGCCCUUAAAUCCAGACUGUGGACCCCAAAUUCCAGCACUGAGUAGUAGUUAUAUUUAUAAAUAUCUGGUCAGUAUUGUUCACCAGUAAGCUAAUACCAAACAAGUCAGGACAUGAGUGUUUGUGUCUAGAGCAACUUUUCUUUUAAGGAACCAGAUGUUUGUUGAUCUGCUCUCAUGGGUUGGUGGGAUAAGUAAGGAAGGGAGAUGGUCUUAACAAAACAGAUCCUUUGUUUUACAUACACUUAACAGCUAACUAGCCUUGGGGACAAAUUGUAAAUAUGAAAAUAAUUGACCAUGCUGUCAAAAAAAAGGCACCAUCAGGAGGUACUAACCUGUUAAGGCAGCAUGCACCUAUUACAUACAUACAGAAUGCACACACACAAACAGGGUUCUGAAUAUAUAGGAGAAGGACUUUGUUCUUAGAAGAUAACAUGUGAAAUGUUUAGCAUGCCAUCUGCCACUUACUUUAAAGUGUUUCAGAAAAAUUAUAAAUAUAUUGAUAAAGCAACUACAGAAAAUGCUAACAUUUAUUGAAUCUAAGUGGUAGGAAUAUGGCUAUUCAUUGUACUACUCUUUAGACUUUCCUGUGUUUGAAAUUUUUCAUUAUCAGAACUUAGAGAAUAAAGGCACACAUUAUUUUGAGAGAAAUGUCACCAUAAGCACAAUCUUUCACUUUUGGACUAGAUUUUCUUCAUUCAGUCACUGAGCGUCAUUUUCCCGACAGAACAUAAUUUCACUGUAUUAGAAUCCUGUCUGAAGAUGUCCAGCAUUACUGUAGCUUA